AUUGAACGCUGGCGGCAGGCCUAACACAUGCAAGUCGAGCGGCAGCGGGAAAGUAGCUUGCUACUUUUGCCGGCGAGCGGCGGACGGGUGAGUAAUGCCUGGGAAAUUGCCCAGUCGAGGGGGAUAACAGUUGGAAACGGCUGCUAAUACCGCAUACGCCCUACGGGGGAAAGCAGGGGCUCUUCGGACCUUGCGCGAUGGGAUAUGCUCAGGUGGGAUUAGCUAGUUGGUGAGGUAAUGGCUCACCAAGGCGACGAUCCCUAGCUGGUCUGAGAGGAUGAUCAGCCACACUGGAACUGAGACACGGUCCAGACUCCUACGGGAGGCAGCAGUGGGGAAUAUUGCGCAAUGGGGGAAACCCUGAUGCAGCCAUGCCGCGUGUGUGAAGAAGGCCUUCGGGUUGUAAAGCACUUUCAGCGAGGAGGAAAGGUUGGCGCCUAAUACGUGUCAGCUGUGACGUUACUCGCAGAAGAAGCACCGGCUAACUCCGUGCCAGCAGCCGCCGUAA
rnacentral:rRNA from 1 species